rnacentral:lncRNA from 1 species
CUUCUAUCAUCCCCUUACCCUGCCAUUGCCAUACUUGGGCACUAAAAGUAUGUGUAAUAUUAAUGUGUGAUAUACAGUUUAAAAUGCUUGCUGGUGGAAUGGCUACAACUUAAACUGUUAGAAAUGCCCUCUCCCAUGAUCCAUCCCCCAGCAGAUGGGUACUUUGUCCAGCAGCUGUGCUUCUUCAGCAAGUCGUUGUUACCCUGUCUCAUUUCUCCUAGGUACUAUAUCACUGAGCUCUCUGCUCUGCUGGAACGCUUCUUCUAUAGGCUUGCUGCAGAGUUUAAAGAGGAAAAGGUCCCUCAGUGUCAUGAGAGACUUUUCACGACAGUAAUCUUUUGCUAUCAGAGGUGAAAUAUCCAGGCUAUAGAGGUAGUAGCUUUUGCUGUGACUGCUGCUUAGAUAGAAAGCUUAAACUCCUUGAGUUGUUAGUCUUGUAUCUGAGGUUUUAAAUUCAUUCAGCCUGGUGUUUGCCCAUUGCCUUACUACUUUUGACUUGACAUGGCCUAGUAAACUGCAAUCCCUCUCUGGGAAUGUUGCCGAAAGCCUGCUGAAUAAGGCUUCUCAGGUUGUACUUUCUUUUAUUUACAUUCUGAGACUAGUGUUCUCUCUAUCCAAGCACCAAUCGUACUUUGUGUUAAAGAUGGGAACCUUUGCUUUCUCUAAUAAUAGGUUUUAAAUCAGGAGGAAGAGAACUUUAACUCAGUUGGCAUGGAGGGCAGAAUAUAUGGUGCAGUGAAUAAACAAAGACCUAGAAGGCUUUUGUUAGACUAAAAUACUCCCUGUGAUUGUUUUUGAUAAAAUAAUAAUAAUUACAGUGAUGGCUGAUGCUUGCCACUGAAAACCUGUAAUUUCUAACAGCUGUGGCAUGGCCAUGACAGCUACCAGCACAUAUAAAAUAAAAUGUAUAUUUCCCUGAACUGAGAUUGCCUGUAUAUGUAAAUUCUCUAUUGACUGUGCCUGUUUGUUUUAUUAGUGACUCACCUGAAACACCAAAAGAUUUAUAUAUUUUCAAAAGUUUUGUCUUAAGAGCUCUUAAAAGAUUUUGAAGCCAUGCUUUUUAAAAUAAAUUAAUUAAUGGCCUUAUCAGAAUGUAGCUUAUUAGAUAAAAUUGUUUAAGGCAUGCUUCAAAUCACACAGUUGCUGCAAACCUAAUAUUAACUAAGCAGUUAUUCAAUAGGCAGAAAUUUGCCUUUUUCCCCAGCAUCUGCAACAUCAGGGAACUCUAUGGUAAGAGAGGAAUUGUAUAUGUGAUUUUCAUAGUAAUCAACUAGGGUAUUACCAAAUUUGCAUUCGCAGUUUAUCAAAGAGGAGAGAAAAUACUUUGCAGUUCUCUGUUUAUUUUAAUAUUUUGACAGAUGUUACAUGAUUUAACACCAGUUGCUAAGUAAAUACCUACUAUGUACAAGGAAGGCACUAUGCUUGGUAUUAGGGAGAGUAAAUGAACCAGGUAACUGCCACAGGAAACUUCUAAUUUAUUAGGAAAGGAAGAUAUAAAUAACUUUAUUACAUGUUAUUUGAAAUAAGAACUUUAAGACUGGAAUAAACGCAUAACUAUAGGUAUUUGGAGGUGACAAUUUGCUGUGUCAUGAGACAGAAAAUGGUUCAAAAGGAAGUCAGAACUAAUAUUGUUGCAAGGGAAUAUAUUGCUAGUUUAAAACAAGAAAUGUGUUUUGUUUGUUUGUUUAUAUUUUUCCAGCAGCCAUGUGGGUAUUUAGGGUCAAAGCAGGGAGAGGAACAGGACUUAUGUGGCAAAAGACAGGCAUUUCUCAGAAUCAGAAGUUGUUUAGGCCAGACAAACCUAUGAGUGGCCAUUACAGACAUGGUAUUUAGCAGAGUCUUGAUUUCAUGAAGAAGAAAGAAGGAAGGACAGAAGAAAUUCUAGGCCAAGGGAAGGACAGGAACAAGAGUGUAGAAAUGAGAUGAUUCAAAGCAGGUGUUACUUACUUGGCUAGGCAAUGCUGUAUAUAUUUUACAUACUUCCUCUUUAGGACAGAAUUAGAAUUGAGGAUAAGUGAAUUUGUAUCAGAAUGUGAUUAUGUUCCUUUAAUUCAUAUUUUUUUCUCCAGAAGAUUUUGACAUUAUUACAUAUGUAAAUGUAAAAUUAUGUGUCAAUCAACAAAUUGAACUAAAUCCCUCCUAAGUUGGUGUGAAAUCAUAAAUAUGUUUGAAAACAAUACUGCAUGCUGAUUUUUCACAAACCAUUUGAUAUCCCUUCACAGCUUGGCUGAAGUUGCUUUGCUCAACAGGGAGGUAGAAAAAAUACACAAUGUUGUGGCCUCUGGUCCUGAAAUAAAAAUAGUGGUUUGAUUAAAUGCCAGUUGGUUGUAAAUGAUAACCCACAUAAACAGUGGGAAAUCAUUAUGCUUAAGCAGUGAAUUCUAAUUUAAUUUUAUGGCCUUUGGAAAAAAAUCCCCUAGGCCAGUCAGCAGAAGCUAAGGAAUGGAGACUCAGCUGAAUGUUGGAGGAAUUGCAAUUCUGUUAGGCCAGCUCUGAGAUGACCUACCCUGCAGCAAGCAACUGGUUACCUAGAUUCUUCCCCCUAUUCUUCAGAUGGGGUCAUUUUAUUGUUUGAUCACCAACAUACAAAUCUUAAAUUUGUAAAAAAGCCACAUCACCAAAUUUUUGUGUUUGAUGUCCAUGUGUUUCAGUUACAUAUUUUAUUGAUGCAUAAACCACCCCCCCCAAAAAUUACUACUACCUUGAAACAACAACCAUUUCAUUAUAUCUAAUAAUUUUCCAUGUCAGAAAUUCCAUCAGGGUUUGGUUGGGUGAUUCUUCUGCUUCAUAAGAUAUCAUCUGGGAUCCCUUGGUGAUAUCCAGUUGGUAUGUUGGCCAGUCUAAAGGGAAUAAGACAGCUUCAUCCACAAGCCUGGUGUUUUUGAUGGUGACAGCUGGAAGACUGGGCUCAACUGGGUAUCUCUCUUUCCCAAAGUAGUUGUAAGAGCUCUUCAUCUUAUUUCUCCAGCAUGGCAGUCAAACUUCUUUCAUGGAAGCUCAAGUCUACAAGAGAUCAAAGUGGAAGCUGCCAGUCUUUUUACAGGUUAGUUCAGGGAUGGAAUAACCUCGCUUUCACUGUACAAAUCCAAAUAAUCCUAGGCCAGCCAGAUUCAAGGGGAGAGCAAAUUGAUUUCACCACUCAUUGAAAGGGAUAUCCAAGGAUUUGCGACCCUCCUGAAUCUACCAUAUCAUGUACAAAACAACAAAGUCUUCUAGAAAAAUGAGAAAAGUGAAAAUUGAAAAACCAAAAUUGUUAAUAUGUACACAUAAAGAUCAAUAAAAAUUAUUUUUCAUGGUCAAGCUAUUUCUUUUCUUCAUGCAGUGCUGCUGAACAAGUGCUAUCUAGGGCAGAUUAUCACUGUGUAAAGAAAACUUUAACAAGUAGAGAUUCUUUUGGAUCUCUGUGAAAAUUUAAUCUACAGAUCUAAUAUAUAGCUAGUGCCUUGGCCCUGUCUUUCUGUGACCACUUGCACUAUGUGCUUAAUUUCUAAGGUUUUUCUCCUCAACUUUUUGUUUAAUGUGCAUAUCUUGGCCUUUCUCAACACCAAACUAUGCAGCUUGUUUGUUGGAUGUUGUAUAUGUGUAUCCCAGGCAACAGAUGCAAUACACCCUAUUGUCUUGGCAGCAAACACACUUUAAGAACAAUACUGCUUCUCAUAACCCUGGUAAGGUAGUUUAAUUUGGCACUGACUGACAGUAGUUGCAAUACCAUAUAAAGAUGCCUAUUGGCACUGGUUUGGUUUUGCAGUCAGAGAAGGCAAAGAGAUACUAUUUUUCAGCACUUUGUGCUGGGGUUGUUGAUCUAAUUUGAUCUAUACAGGGCCUUGUAUAAAGGUGCAAGUUGUACUAGGCAGGCAUCUGGAGCUGUUUGGCUGACAGAACAUUACUGGAUAUUAGAAUAAAUUAGGCAAAAUUAGUACAGCAUUCAAAUGGUGCCAAUACAGGUGUAAUAUUGAUUGACUGCUACAAUAUGUCACAUAGCAACAAAAUCACACUAAGUAAAGGAAGAAAAUGUUACAGAGGUAUGAGAACAGAAAAUAUUAUAGGACAUUUAUUAGGUAGCCAUGAUAUGAUCAAAUUUAUUUAAGCACUUAUAAAACUCACUAAGAUUUGUUUCCAAGUAUAAAACUCACCAAGGUUUAUUUCCAAGUAUUUUGGAACGUUUUUAAUCAGAGGAGGAAAGACAAAAUAAGAAAUGAAAGGCAUUUUCUAAAAUUUACUUUUGGAUUAGAUUUCUUGCCUCUAUACUUCAACUCAGUAAGCAUUUAUUAAUUUAUCUCUGUGCAUUUUUUCUGUAUUCAUAGAUUCAACUAGAUUUAUUGAAAACCUGCUACAAGACUGUUAAGAAGAUACAUACAUAUAUACAUAAGUGAUAUACAAUCACAAUGGAGAUAAAUACUAUGUAUAAGGCAUGCUAAAGGCUUGUGUAAAAAGCUCUCAGAAUUUCGGGGGGGUUCACAUGUAAAGAAUUUAUUUCUUACAUAUUUUCACUCGUUGUUCCUUGUUAGGCAGCAAUAUGGGUAGCUCUUCAUAAGGAGCAAUUUAGGGACCUAGUUUUCUGCAUCUUGUGGCUCCGUUCUCCUCCUGAUUUUCAUGUUUUCUCUGUUUAGCUAGUAUGUGGGAAAAGAAGGCUGGAGGGUUAUGGAUGAGAGGAUUUUAUGGGCCUUGCUUAGAAAUGGUAUGCCAAACUUCUGUUCACAUUCUACUGUUCAGAUCUCAGUCACAUGGUCAUAUAUGACUCAAAGGAGGGCAGAAAAUAUAGUUUAGUUGCUGCUCCAUAGGAAGAGGAAAAUUAUUAAGCCGUCUCUGCCAAAUGCUUAUGAAUGAAAAUAACAGAUGCUUUCAGGAUGUGAUGGAUAAAGAAAAACAGAAUAAAACAAAAUAUCAUCAUGAGAUUUGCAGUACUUGUGGUGAAAUAUAUAAAUGAGAUUUUUAAAAUGCAACACAAUUUACAUUUGAAUAAAAACAGACCAUUAACAAAUCUUUUGCUAUCACUGAAUCUAAUUAUUUCUUGUAUGUAAAGAGUUAAGGGUGGGGUGGUUUGUGCCUGUAGUCCCAGCUGCUACUACUCAGGAGGUAGGUGGGAGGAUCAUCUGACCCUGGGGAGGACGAGGCUGCAGUGAGCCAUGAUUGCACCACUGCAUGCCAGCCUGGGCAACAGAGUGAGACCUUGUCUCAAAAAAAGAAAAGAGUUAACAUCCAGUUUAAAGUACUUGCUAAGGUAGUGCAACUAGUUAGUGUCACAACGGGGACACUUAUUGUCAGAGAAGUUUGUAAUGCUCAGUGCUUGCACUCACCCUUACCCACAUAACUGAUUCUCAUUUUCUGUCUACUAUCAGAUGAGCCAAUAUUUCUAAUUAAUAAUGCUUAUUUCCAGUGCUGAACUUUCUUUGGAGGAAUUCAAUUAAAGGGACCUUGAUUCACAUUCAAAUAACUACCCACAACUGGCAAUAACUAUCCUCCAGAGAAACCCAACCUGAAGAAGUUCAUGCAUGAAGUCUGACCUUGCUUAAUUGGUUUGGUGGGACAGGACCAAAACUCUUCUAGAGACAGGUAAAACUGAUCCAUACAAAUGAAUAUUGGAAUCUUCUUUCUUGGGGUCUAGGCUGAUGUGGCAUCUGGCAACGGAGGCCAACUGAAACUUGGGCCUCCAAGUAUAUCCAAGUACUGGCUGUGGCUGAAGCUUGAGCUGGCUACAAGGUUUCUCCUAUACAGGAGAGAGUAGCUACCUUUAUUGCAUAUAUUUACAUAUUGGUAUUCAAUGCUUUUGUAUUGGAAAAACUGAAGUUUGUUCUUUUAGAGCCAGUUUCUGAGGUGAGAGGUAGAGAGAAUUAGAGAUAUGACUAGUAGGGUCUCCUAAUCACGAAACAAAUUGCAACCUAUGCCUUGUCCGGUCAUCUUUAUAUGACUGUUUUCUGAAAGAGAUAUGAAUAACAUGUACUGUGCAGAUUAAGGGGUUGAAGAAUUCAGAGUGUGUACAGUUUUGAUGUGGGUAACUUUUAGGGAGGAGACAGAGAUUAGAAAAUGUAUCUAAAAAUAUAGUUUGCAGCUGCCCUGCUUUCUAAUCCCUUAAGGUGCUCAAUAAAACACAGACUCCUGGGCUACCUCCAAGUUAUUGAAUAAGACUCUUAAGCUUUUUGACCUGGAAUCCUGAAUGUUAGCCAAAAUUCCCUUUGCCUAAACAAUGGCUACUGGCAAGGGAUGAAAAAAAACCUGAAUGCUGAUAUUGAAAUGUAAAUCAUCGAAUUGUUUUUUCUGUAUUUCGUAAGUAACAUGCCAAUUUACAAAGUGAACAUUUUCCUGAUCAUCCCAGAUGUGGAACUAAUGAAAGACUAUUUCUAUACAUAGUCAAAUCAAAUAUAAAAUGAUUCAUUCCUGCUUAUUUCAGAUAACUGGUCAAAAAGAAUUGUUUGUCUGCAGUGAUUGCUGUUAGCUAAGAUCAGCUGUCAUGGAUCAUGUUUGGCAUGCCAGAGGUCUUAUGAGAAUCAGCUGUCAGGCAUGGAAUAGAAUUGUACAGUUGCUAUAGGUCAAAGGAGAGAGUGUUUUUUUUGCUAGUGGAAUUUUGAUGUUGUGUCAAUGGUGGUAUAAGUGGUUAUAUUUAACACAGUGAGGUUCCCAAGAAGUCUCAUUAAGAAUCCUAAGGCACUAAAAUAUCUCCAAAUUAUGAAAGAUUUAUUUUGCAAGGCUUAUUUUCCUCUUGGCUAUAAUGAGAUACUGAGUAAACAUUUUCAAUGAUAAAUUCGGAUAUAACAAGUCUUUGUCAAGACUUUUAGAAAGACUCACACUGGAAAUUCUGAAUGACUUUGUUGAAAUUAUGCAGGAUUCUGGUUAGACACUAAUAGAUAGCUAAUGUUGAUUUUUUCUUUAAUAACAUUAUAACUAUUUUUUGAAUCAAUGCACAAUAAAGUACUGAGAAUUGGGUGAGUUUUCAAGAAAUCCAAAGCCAUGAAUCUGUCAAUUGUGUCAUACCAUCAGUAGUGGUGAGUUGAAUGGCAAGACCCACUUAGCUUCUGUUCACUCAGGGGUCACAAAUUGGCCAUCUACAGGGAUCAUUUGGCCUGUGAAUGAAUUUAAUUUAGAAGAAAAAACUCACUAAACUUUUUUUACUCAGGUGAAGCCAUUUAAAAAUGUAAUGAUUUUACAUAAAAACCUAGAUUCUGGUAUUCUCAUGAAAAAUCAGAACAUUAGCACAUUUCCCUAUGGCAGCAAUCAGAAGUGGUGGCCCCCGUUGGAUAAUCAUGUACUCUCCAGCAUGAACCUGCUUCAGGCAUUCACAUUACCUGCCUCUCUGAGUUUCUGCACCCUCCACGGAUUGAGGCUCUUAUGAAAAUGACCUGUUCUCCCCUUUUAAAUUUCUAGUGCUUUUCACUUGGGAUCCUUUCAAGAUGACUACUUACUCUGUGAGAGAUGACAGAAACCACUUGACUACAUUUUGUAAAGAUAUACAUGCGUAAGACAUAUACGAAGGCCGACAGUUACAGGCACACAAAAUUCGUCCAGGCUUGUCAAGCUUAGAAGAUGUAUCAUUGUGUAUUGGUAGGAAUAAGGACCAAGGUUAAUAAAAUAAAAUAUGAUGGGGAAAUGUGAAGUCCUAAAUUUACUUAAAUAUGAAUCCAUAAAUUUUAUUCACAAAUACAAAUCCCUAAAUAAAAAAUCAGUUAGGAAAAUACAAAAUGGUAAAGACCUGAUUUGGUAGUAUUUUUCUAAAAACAAAGUUUUCAUAAGUGAUAAGUUCAAUGUGUAUCAGUAGAGUGAUAUGACUACUUUAAAAAAGAUGCAAAAACAGGUGCAUUAGUAGAAGUAAAAUGUACAGAUGGUGAAAAUUAUGAUAUUUUGUACUUCAUUUUUGUCAAUCUGGGUAUAGAGGAGUGUUUCCUCUGAAGUUUUAAAAAGGCACUGACCACAAAACUGCAAGAAAUGAGAAUAGGUGACAUUCAUGGAGAGGGUUGUAGGAAUCAAGACAUACAAGGAAUGAUUGAAUAAACCAUAUGUUUAAACUAGAGAAGAAAAGAAAAAAUGAAAAAAGGUAAGAGGAAUAGGCAAGCUCCUUAAAUUUUGAAAGGGCUCUGACACAGCAUGGGAUAUGUUCUUGUACUGUGACUCCAAAGACCAGAAACUGAUAAAGGCCUGAUUAUUUUUAAAAUAUGGGAGAAGGUAAAUUGCAAAUUGCUCAGAUUAGUGACACUGACCGCUAUGAAUGGAAAAAUAAGAACUCUAUUAACAGAUGGAUUUUGAACACUUACUAAAGAGACAGAGGUUGGGCCGGGCACGGUG